AAACUGGCUUCUUUAGAAGCCACAGAUCUAGCUUCUGGCAGGUGUGU
rfam:Otolemur garnettii contig178824, whole genome shotgun sequence.